GCCAGCAUGGUGUAGUGGUGUGAAUAUUGGACUAUGACUCUGGAGACCAGGGUUCAAAUCCCUGCUCUGCCA